UUUAAUUGAAGAGUUUGAUCAUGGCUCAGAUUGAACGCUGGCGGCAGGCCUAACACAUGCAAGUCGAGCGGCAGCACAGAGGAACUUG
rnacentral:rRNA from 1 species